AUUGAACGCUGGCGGCAUGCCUUACACAUGCAAGUCGAACGGUAACAGGUCUUCGGAUGCUGACGAGUGGCGAACGGGUGAGUAAUACAUCGGAACGUGCCUAGUAGUGGGGGAUAACUACUCGAAAGAGUGGCUAAUACCGCAUGAGAUCUACGGAUGAAAGCAGGGGAUCGCAAGACCUUGUGCUACUAGAGCGGCCGAUGGCAGAUUAGGUAGUUGGUGGGAUAAAAGCUUACCAAGCCGACGAUCUGUAGCUGGUCUUAGAGGACGAUCAGCCACACUGGGACUGAGACACGGCACGGACUCCUACGGGAGGCAGCAGUGGGGUAUUUUGGACAAGGGGCGCGAGCCUGAUCCAGCAAUGCCGCGUGCAGGAUGAAGGCCUUCGGGUUGUAAACUGCUUUUGUACGGAACGAAAAGCCCCGGGUUAAUACCCUGGGGUCAUGACGGUACCGUAAGAAUAAGCACCGGCUAACUACGUGCCAGCAGCCGCCGCGG
rnacentral:rRNA from 1 species